GUCUUGCACGGUAGUAGGAUUAUGUGAGGGGAAGAAAAUAUGGAGGAUAUUAUCUCUUGGUGGGAAGCUCAGCGUGAGGUGGAGCUUCAGAAGCUAGUGAGAGCCCAGUGUGAGGUGGAGCUCCAGGAAUAGGUGGAUGGGCACGAGAUGAGGACUCAGAAGGAUGAUAGGCAACAUCACAAGGUGAAAUUUCUAUUAUUGUAGGAGGCUACCU
rnacentral:lncRNA from 1 species